rnacentral:rRNA from 1 species
UACGAAGGGGGCUAGCGUUGCUCGGAAUGACUGGGGGUAAAGGGCGCGUAGGCGGACGGCUUUGUCGGGCGUGAAAUUCCAGGGCUUAACCUUGGGGCUGCGUUCGAGACGGGUUGUCUAGAGUUUGGAAGAGGGUCGUGGAAUUCCCAGUGUAGAGGUGAAAUUCGUAGAUAUUGGGAAGAACACCGGUGGCGAAGGCGGCGACCUGGUCCUUGACUGACGCUGAGGCGCGAAAGCGUGGGGAGCAAACAGG